rnacentral:lncRNA from 10 species
CCUUGCCUGAUCUUGACCGUUAAUAUUGAACUGGAUUUAAAAUACCUUUUGUGGCCAGGUACUCAUGCCUUGAGAACUUGCCUCUACAAAGAAAAAAGAAAAGGCUAGUGUGGUGGAGCAAGCCCAUUGUCCCAGCUACUCAGGAGGCUGAAGUGUGAGGAUCACCUGAGCCUGGGAGGUUGAGACUGCAGUAAGCCAUGAUCACCACUGCCUUCCGGCCUAGGCAACAGAGAGAGACCCUGUGUCUAAUAUAUAUAGGGGGCUUAGGGAGAAAGAAAGUAUUUGCUUUGCUUUCAGGAUGUUUGUGUUAUAUCCCAUUCCCAGGCCGAGCACCAUCAGGGGAGGGGAGGGACUGGAAGAAAGAAGGCACUGUUUAGAGAAUGCUUUUCAGAGAAACCCCAAAUGUAUUUUUAUUUGUUUUAAUUAUUCAAAACAAGAGUGCACUGUGGGCUGGGCGCGGUG